rnacentral:rRNA from 1 species
CUCGUAGUUGGAUUUCGGUUGAGAACGGCCGGUCCGCCGUUUGGUGUGCACUGGCUGGUUUCAACUUCCUGUAGAGGACGCGCUCUGGCUUCACGGCUGGACGCGGAGUCUACGUGGUUACUUUGAAAAAAUUAGAGUGUUCAAAGCGGGCUUACGCUUGAAUAUUUCAGCAUGGAAUAACACUAUAGGACUCCUGUCCUAUUUCGUUGGUCUCGGGACGGGAGUAAUGAUUAAGAGGAACAGUUGGGGGCAUUCGUAUUUCAUUGUCAGAGGUGAAAUUCUUGGAUUUAUGAAAGACGAACUUCUGCGAAAGCAUUUGCCAAGGAUGUUUUCAUUAAUCAAGAACGAAAGUUGGGGGCUCGAAGAUGAUUAGAUACCAUCCUAGUCUCAACCAUAAACGAUGCCGACUAGGGAUUGCAGGAUGUUAAUUGAUGACUCCUGCAGCACCUUAUGAGAAAUCAAAGUUUUUGGGUUCCGGGGGGAGUAUGGUCGCAAGGCUGAAACUCAA